UUUAGCGGAUUUUUGAAGAGAAAAUCUGUUGGAUUUUCCGGAUUUGUUCGGAUUUUUUCCGGAUUUUUUGACGAAGUGUACGGGAUUUUUGGAGUGAAAUGCCCCUCGUCGAAAACAAACAGAAUCUAGUAGUGGAGAUGAAAGCGGUGCAUUGUUUGAUGAAAUUUCCAAUGCGGUUGAGUCAGAAAAUACAAGGAAAGAAGAAGAUGAUAACACAGUAUUCGAUACUUUAGAACUUUCAGAUAUGGAAAAUAUCAAAAACAGAGAAGAACUCUGAACACACAAAUGCAAAACGACGAUCUAUGUAAUAUAGGUUCUGUCCUAGCUGGCUUUAGGAAAGUAAAACCAAAUAUCAUACCAGGAAAUAAUUUAAACUGUAUUAUAAUAGUUUCAAAAACUGUAAUAUUUAUUUCUAUUUUAUAGUAACAAGUGGUUUCGCUU